GAUGAACGCUGGCGGCGUGCCUAAUACAUGCAAGUCGAGCGAACAGACGAGGAGCUUGCUCCUCUGACGUUAGCGGCGGACGGGUGAGUAACACGUGGAUAACCUACCUAUAAGACUGGGAUAACUUCGGGAAACCGGAGCUAAUACCGGAUAAUAUAUUGAACCGCAUGGUUCAAUAGUGAAAGACGGUUUUUGUGUCUCUUAGAGAUGGAUCCGCGUCGCAUUAGCUAGUUGGUAAGGUCAUGACUUACCAAGGCAACGAUGCGUACCCGACCGGAGAGACUGAUCGGCGACACGGGAGCGGAGACACGCUCCAGACGCCUACGGGAGGCAGCAGUAGGGAAUGGGCGGCAAUGGGCGAAAGUCUGACGGAACAGCGCCGCGUGUGAGAUGAAGAUCCUCGGAUCGUAAAACCCUGUUAUGAGGGAAGAACAAAUGUGUAAGUAACUAUGCCCGGCGUGACGGUACCUGAACAGAAAGCCCCGGCUAACUACGUG
rnacentral:rRNA from 1 species